rnacentral:rRNA from 1 species
ACAAACGACUCUGGGCAACGGAUAUCUCGGCUCACGCAUCGAUGAAGAACGUAGCAAAAUGCGAUACUUGGUGUGAAUUGCAGAAUCCCGUGAACCAUCGAGUUUUUGAACGCAAGUUGCGCCCGAAGCCACUCGGCCGAGGGCACGCCUGCCUGGGCGUCACGC